GACGAACGCUGACGGCAUGCCUAAUACAUGCAAGUCGAGCGAACAGAUGAAGUGCUUGCACUUCUGACGUUAGCGGCGAACGGGUGAGUAACACGUAAGGAAUCUACCUAUAAGCGGGGGAUAACAUUCGGAAACGGGUGCUAAUACCGCAUAAUAUCUUCUUCCGCAUGGAAGAAGAUUGAAAGACGGCUCUGCUGUCACUUAUAGAUGACCUUGCGGUGCAUUAGUUAGUUGGUGGGGUAACGGCCUACCAAGACGAUGAUGCAUAGCCGACCUGAGAGGGUGAUCGGCCACAUUGGGACUGAGACACGGCCCAAACUCCUACGGGAGGCAGCAGUAGGGAAUCUUCCGCAAUGGGCGAAAGCCUGACGGAGCAAUGCCGAGUGAGUGAAGAAGGCCUUCGGGUCGUAAAACUCUGUUAUAAGAGAAGAACAAAUUGUAGAGUAACUGCUACAGUCUUGACGGUAUCUUAUCAGAAAGCCACGGCUAACUACGUGCCAGCCGCCGCCGUAA
rnacentral:rRNA from 1 species